GGUUUAAUUACCCAAGUUUGAGGUAUUCAAUGCUUCCGACCCUGCAAAUGUAGAGGUUGAAAGAAAUUUUGGAACAGCCUUCCCUCCACUGGGAAGGCA
rnacentral:sRNA from 1 species